UCAGCUCUCAUGUGACCCUUUCUCAAGUCUGGGAGGCCUCUCUGGUUUGCAAACUGUUUACCUGAAUAAAGUUUUUCCUGUUUACAAACCCUGCACUUGGAGCUCCCGUUCUAAUUAGAUUGGUGGCAGUGACCUGUUGUUAGCAGCUCCUCUGUGCUUCAGUUUCAUCAUCUGAAAAACAACAGUACCGACCUCAUGGGGGUGCUUGCAGAGAAGAAAAGAGUCAAUAUUUAUAAAGUACUUAGAACAUUGUCU